CAGAAAAGUUGGACUACCAAGAGCUUGGAAAGAUGACGAGAACUCAACUCAUCCGAUAAAAUUUGAAUAUUCUGUAGUUUGGGAACUGCAUGUUGAAGGUACACAGUUCGAUCAUUCUGAAGGAUCUGAAAAUGAAAUAUUUAAAAUCGAAUUUUUACCUUUGUUAUCUUGCCUACAACAAGACAGUCCUCAGCUAGCUGAUGUUAUUAGAAAGAGAUUGUUACAAGAACCAUCCGUAGAAGAAUAAAACCUGGAUAAACCUAUAGAGGAGCAUUUAAAAGCCCAUGAACAAGUUCCCUAUGAGGUGGAUAGAAUUGUUUUCCAGGGAAAACUUAAAGAUGGAUUCUUUAUCGAAGCUGGAGCAAACAACUUUGAAGGACAUUCUGAUUCUCUAUAUUUUGAAUUGAACCAUGGCUGGACGGGUCUUUUAGUUGAACCACAUCCUCGACAUUUUAAAGAAGGAAUAGCAAAAAAUAGAAAAUCCUUUAG